rnacentral:lncRNA from 1 species
AAAAGAAAAAACUUGAAAAGAAAAAAAUUAAACAAUUCAUGGUUUAGAUUAUUUGAAACUAAGACUUUCUGUGUCCAUCCCUGUAUAGGUGAAGUAUUUUGUGGAGUAAUUCUUUUAUUCUCUUAAUUAGUGGUAAAACAUUUAGACCAGAAGUUUUAAGUAACUUUUUUUUUAAAGUUGAAGAUCUCUGUACAUUAGAGAUUUUAUUUAUAAGUCCAGUGUGUAAAACAGCUGCUCUGGUUGAAUGAAAUCUGAAUGGAGACGCCAGAACCCCCCUUACUUGGCAUCCUGCCUCUUAGGCUGCUCUCGAAAGAGCACAAGUUGAAAACUUCUGAUUUAGAUCAUCUAUCUUAGUUGGAGCUGUGUUUGAGCCAACCUCUAUGGUUGCUAGAAUGGUUUCCUAACUGCCAGGAGCCCUCAUUAAUUGUGCGCAUGCUUCUAAGAGAAUAUGGAUACUUGAAACUAACAGACAAAUGGAACGGUGUGUACAACAUAAUGAUCACAUUUUGAUAGGAGAAAAUAAACCCCCAGAUUGAAAUUGUAUUCAAUAUUGGAAAGGCAACCGUGAUCCUUAACCCACUGAGUGAGGCCAGGGAUUGAACCCACAACCUCAUGGUUCCUAAUUGAAUCUGUUAACCACUGAGCCAAGACGGGAACUCCCUCAUUUUAUUGUUUUCUAAUGAGAUUAAAUAUCUCUUCUUAUAUGUAUUGACCAUUUGUGUUUCUUUUGUGAAAUACCUGGUGACAUUUUUUUGUCUUUUUUUCCCUACCAUAUUGUUGUUUUUCUUAUUAACUACUAGGAGUUCUUUGAUAUAUUCUGAAUGCUAAUUGGUUGUUGCUUACAUGUGUUACAGAUAUCUUCUCCCACUCUAUGAUUUAACUUUAUCAUUCUCUUUAUGGUAUCUUUUAAUUAAGAAUUUCUAAGUUUAAAGUAAUUGAUUUAUGAGUUUUAUAGUUACCUUUGUAUUUUAAUUUUUUUGCAUGGGAAUAAUGUAAGGCCCAACUUAAUUAUUUUCCAAAUGAGUUCUUAUUUAUUGAAGAUAAUCUUUUCCACUGAUCAGCAGAGCUGCCUGUUUUGCAUAUCAAGGAGUUACCCACGUUUGAAUGUCUUUCUGAACUCAUUGUUUCCAUUGGUCUGUCUGUCUGUGCUUUUGCACUGCAUCUCAGUCUUCAUUAUGAUACCUGUACUUGGUCCUUUUAAAUGGGAGCAGUCAGUCCUCCCAUCUCUUCCCAAG